AUUGAACGCUGGCGGCAUGCUUUACACAUGCAAGUCGAACGGUAACAGGCCGCAAGGUGCUGACGAGUGGCGAACGGGUGCGUAAUGCAUCGGAACGUGCCCAGUCGUGGGGGAUAACUACUCGAAAGAGUAGCUAAUACCGCAUACGAUCUAUGGAUGAAAGCGGGGGACCGUAAGGCCUCGCGCGAUUGGAGCGGCCGAUGUCAGAUUAGGUAGUUGGUGGGGUAAAGGCUCACCAAGCCAACGAUCUGUAGCUGGUCUGAGAGGACGACCAGCCACACUGGGACUGAGACACGGCCCAGACUCCUACGGGAGGCAGCAGUGGGGAAUUUUGGACAAUGGGCGCAAGCCUGAUCCAGCAAUGCCGCGUGCAGGAAGGAGGCCUUCGGGUUGUAAACUGCUUUUGUACGGAACGAAACGGCUCUGGUUAAUACCCGGGGCUAAUGACGGUACCGUAAGAAUAAGCACCGGCUAACUACGUG
rnacentral:rRNA from 1 species